GUCACGCUGUAAACGAUGUCGAUUUGGAGGUUGUUCCCUUGAGGAGUGGCUUCCGGAGCUAACGCGCUAAAUCGACCGCUGGGGAGUACGGCCGCAAGGUUAAAACUCAAAUGAAUUGACGGGGGCCCGCACAAGCGGUGGAGCAUGUGGUUUAAUUCGAUGCAACGCGAAGAACCUUACCUACUCUUGACAUCCAGAGAAUUUAGCAGAGAUGCUUUAGUGCCUUCGGGAACUCUGAGACAGGUGCUGCAUGGCUGUCGUCAGCUCGUGUUGUGAAAUGUUGGGUUAAGUCCCGCAACGAGCGCAACCCUUAUCCUUUGUUGCCAGCACAUUAUGGUGGGAACUCAAAGGAGACUGCCGGUGAUAAACCGGAGGAAGGUGGGGAUGACGUCAAGUCAUCAUGGCCCUUACGAGUAGGGCUACACACGUGCUACAAUGGCGUAUACAAAGAGAAGCGACCUCGCGAGAGCAAGCGGAACUCAUAAAGUACGUCGUAGUCCGGAUUGGAGUCUGCAACUCGACUCCAUGAAGUCGGAAUCGCUAGUAAUCGUAGAUCAGAAUGCUACGGUGAAUACGUUCCCGGGCCUUGUACACACCGCCCGUCACACCAUGGGAGUGGGUUGCAAAAGAAGUAGGUAGCUUAACCUUCGGGAGGGCGCUUACCACUUUGUGAUUCAUGACUGGGGUGAAGUCGUAACAAGGUAACCA
rnacentral:rRNA from 1 species